GAUGAACGCUAGCUACAGGCUUAACACAUGCAAGUCGAGCGACCGGAGCACGGGUGAGUAACACGAUAACAACCACCGCUUGACUCUGGGAUAGGCUUUCGACAGAACGAUUAGUACCCGCUAUCACGCAUGGGGAUGCGUUCCAUUAGGUUGUUGGUGAGGAAACGGCCCACCAAACCUUUGAUGGAUAGGGGUUGGGAGAGGAAGUUCCCCCACAUUGGAACUGCGACACGGUCCAAACUCCUACGGGCGGCAGCAGUGAGGAAUAUUGGUCAAUGGGCGGUAGCCUGAACCAGCCAAGUAGCGUGAAGGAUGAAGGCUUAUGGGUCGUAAACUUCUUUUAUAUAAGAAUAUGUAUUAUAUGAAUAAGGAUCGGCUAACUCCGUGCCAGCAGCCGCGGUAAUUC
rnacentral:rRNA from 1 species